AUGUCCAACCAAGAGCUCGUGGAGUUCGCAUGGGGCUUGGCCAACUGCGGCUAUGACUUCUUGUGGAUCGUGAGGGAUGACCUCGUAAAGGGUGAUGGCGCUGUGCUGCCUCCCGAGUUCCUAGAGGCGGCCAAGGGAAGGUGCCUACUCGUGAGCUGGUGUGAACAUGAGGCGGUGCUGCAUCACGAGGCGGUGGGUGCCUUCCUUACGCAUUGCGGGUGGAACUCGAUGUUGGAGGGGCUCAGUGCAGGGGUGCCAAUGUUGUGUUGGCCCUUCUUCGCGGAGCAGCAAACCAAUUCCCGCUACGCAUGCGUGGAGUGGGGCGUUGGGAUGGAGGUCGAUGACGACGUGCGCCAGGAGGUGGUCGAGGCGAGGAUACGAGAGGUGAUGGGAGUAGGAGAGGUAGGGAGGGAGAUGAAGCGGAAGGCGGUGGAGUGGAGUGAGAUUGCCGUUCGUGCAACCGCAAAGCCUGGUGGAAGGUCGUUGGCCAACCUCGAGAGUCUGCUCGAGGAUGUACUAUUGAGUGCAGGUAAGAAUGUUGGGUCGGAUUGA
rnacentral:rRNA from 1 species